rfam:Erinaceus europaeus unplaced genomic scaffold scaffold00251, whole genome shotgun sequence
AUCGCUUCUCGGCCUUUUGGCUAAGAUCAAGUGUAGUGUGUGUCUAGGUAAGUUCUUUAAAUUGAACAGAAGCCAGAUGUAUGAGUUGCUUGGCUACAUGAAGUCAGACAGUACAGAGUCCCACCUAGUGCCUGGCUAAGACUCAUCACCGCCUUUUAGGAAACUUGUCAUUUUAUUUUAAGAAAAGGAGCCACU